GCUUAACACAUGCAAGUCGAGCGAGAAUCGUUUAUUGAAGGCUUCGGCUGGAAAUAGAUGAGGAAAGCGGCGAACGGGCGAGUAACGCGUGGGCAACCUGGCCUUAAGAAAAGGAUAGCCCCCGGAAACGGGGAGUAAUACUUUAUGAGAAUGAGAGAGGGCAUCCUACUUUCCUUCAAAGAGCAAGCGCUUAAGGAUGGGCCCGAGUAUCAUUAGCUAGUUGGUGAGAAAACAGCCCACCAAGGCAACGAUGAUUAGCCGGUCUGAGAGGGCGAACGGCCACAUUGGAACUGAGAGACGGUCCAAACUCCUACGGGAGGCAGCAGUGGGGAAUAUUGCGCAAUGGAGAAGAACUCUGACGCAGCAAUACCGCGUGAGCGAAGAAGGUCUUCGGAUCGUAAAGCUCUGUUAUCAGGGAAGAAGAAAAUGACGGUACCUGAUGAGCAAGUCCCAGCUAACUACGUGCCAGCCGCCGCAGUAA
rnacentral:rRNA from 1 species